GUGCCAGCAGCCGCGGUAAUACCGGCAGCACAAGUGAUGGCCGAUAUUAUUGGGCCUAAAGCGUCCGUAGCCGGCCGGACAAGUCCGUUGGGAAAUCUGCGCGCUUAACGCGCAGGCGUCCAGCGGAAACUGUCCGGCUUGGGGCCGGAAGAUCCGAGGGGUACGUCCGGGGUAGGAGUGAAAUCCCGUAAUCCUGGACGGACCGCCGAUGGCGAAAGCACUUCGAGAAAACGGAUCCGACAGUGAGGGACGAAAGCUAAGAUCGCGAACCGGAUUAGAUACCGGGUAGUCC
rnacentral:rRNA from 1 species